rnacentral:rRNA from 1 species
UACAGAGGUCCCAAGCGUUGUUCGGAUUUACUGGGCGUAAAGGGUGCGUAGGUGGCGGGGUAAGUCUGGUGUGAAAUCCUGGGGCUCAACCCCAGAACUGCAUUGGAUACUGCCUUGCUAGAGUACUGGAGAGGGAACUGGAAUUUACGGUGUAGCAGUGAAAUGCGUAGAGAUCGUAAGGAAGGCCAGUGGCGAAGGCGAGUUCCUGGACAGUUACUGACGCUGAGGCACGAAAGUGUGGGGAUCAAACAGG